GACGAACGCUGGCGGCGUGCUUAACACAUGCAAGUCGAACGCUGAAGCCCUUUCGGGGGUGGAUGAGUGGCGAACGGGUGAGUAACACGUGGGUAAUCUGCCCUGCACUCUGGGAUAAGCCUUGGAAACGGGGUCUAAUACCGGAUAGGACACAUCGCCGCAUGGUGUGUGUGUGGAAAGUUCCGGCGGCGCAGGUUGAGCCCGCGGCCUAUCAGCUGGUUGGUGGGGUGAUGGCCUACCAAGGCGACGACGGGUAGCCGGCCUGAGAGGGUGACCGGCCACACUGGGACUGAGACACGGCCCAGACUCCUACGGGAGGCAGCAGUGGGGAAUCUUGCGCAAUGGGCGAAAGCCUGACGCAGCAACGCCGCGUGGGGGAUGACGGCCUUCGGGUUGUAAACCUCUUUCGACCGGGACGAAGGGUGACUGACGGUACCGGUAGAAGAAGCACCGGCUAACUACGUGCCAGCAGCCGCCGUAA
rnacentral:rRNA from 1 species